GGGCCUGUGGAUUAGUGGAAGAUCGUUCGCUUGGCAUGCGAAAGGCCGCGGGUUCGAUAAGCGAGAAAAGUUCUUUCUACUCGGCCAUCCCGCCAGGUCCA
rnacentral:tRNA from 1 species